rnacentral:rRNA from 1 species
UACGUAGGGCGCAAGCGUUGUCCGGAAUUAUUGGGCGUAAAGAGCUCGUAGGUGGUUUGUUACGUCUGCUGUGAAAACCUAGGGCUUAACCCUGGGCCUGCAGUGGAUACGGGCAGACUAGAGGUAGGUAGGGGAGAAUGGAAUUCCCGGUGUAGCGGUGAAAUGCGCAGAUAUCAGGAGGAACACCGGUGGCGAAGGCGGUUCUCUGGGCCCUACCUGACGCUGAGACGCGAAAGCGUGGGGAGCGAACCGG